AAAUUGAAGAGUUUGAUCAUGGCUCAGAUUGAACGCUGGCGGCAGGCCUAACACAUGCAAGUCGAGCGGUAGCACAGAGAGCUUGCUCUCGGGUGACGAGCGGCGGACGGGUGAGUAAUGUCUGGGAAACUGCCUGAUGGAGGGGGAUAACUACUGGAAACGGUAGCUAAUACCGCAUAAUGUCGCAAGACCAAAGUGGGGGACCUUCGGGCCUCAUGCCAU
rnacentral:rRNA from 1 species